ACUCCUACGGGAGGCAGCAGUGGGGAAUAUUGCACAAUGGGGGAAACCCUGAUGCAGCCAUGCCGCGUGUGUGAAGAAGGCCUUCGGGUUGUAAAGCACUUUCAGUAGGGAGGAAGGUAGUGUAGUUAACACCUGCAUUAUUUGACGUUACCUACAGAAGAAGCACCGGCUAACUCCGUGCCAGUAGCCGCGGUAAUACGGAGGGUGCGAGCGUUAAUCGGAAUUACUGGGCGUAAAGCGCAUGCAGGCGGCCUGUUAAGUCAGAUGUGAAAGCCCGGGGCUUAACCUCGGAAUUGCAUUUGAAACUGGCAGGCUAGAGUCUGUAGAGGGGUAGAAUUUCAGGUGUAGCGGUGAAAUGCGUAGAGAUCUGAAGGAAUACCAGUGGCGAAGGCGGCCCCCUGGACAAAGACUGACGCUCAGAUGCGAAAGCGUGGGAGCAAACAGGAUUAGAUACCCCUGGUAGACUGUCA
rnacentral:rRNA from 1 species